rnacentral:rRNA from 1 species
UUAGUACCCGGAGGAAGAGAAAGAAAAUUCGAUUCCCUUAGUAGCGGCGAGCGAAACGGGAAGAGCCCAAACCAACAAGCUUGCUUGUUGGGGUUGUAGGACACUCUAUACGGAGUUACAAAGGACGACAUUAGACGAAUCAUCUGGAAAGAUGAAUCAAAGAAGGUAAUAAUCCUGUAGUCGAAAAUGUUGUCUCUCUUGAGUGGAUCCUGAGUACGACGGAGCACGUGAAAUUCCGUCGGAAUCUGGGAGGACCAUCUCCUAAGGCUAAAUACUCUCUAGUGACCGAUAGUGAACCAGUACCGUGAGGGAAAGGUGAAAAGCACCCCGGAAGGGGAGUGAAAUAGAACCUGAAACCGUGUGCUUACAAGUAGUCAGAGCCCGUUAAUGGGUGAUGGCGUGCCUUUUGUAGAAUGAACCGGCGAGUUACGAUUUGAUGCAAGGUUAAGCAGUAAAUGUGGAGCCGUAGCGAAAGCGAGUCUGAAUAGGGCGUUUAGUAUUUGGUCGUAGACCCGAAACCAGGUGAUCUACCCUUGGUCAGGUUGAAGUUCAGGUAACACUGAAUGGAGGACCGAACCGACUUACGUUGAAAAGUGAGCGGAUGAACUGAGGGUAGCGGAGAAAUUCCAAUCGAACCUGGAGAUAGCUGGUUCUCUCCGAAAUAGCUUUAGGGCUAGCCUCAAGUGAUGAUUAUUGGAGGUAGAGCACUGUUUGGACGAGGGGCCCCUCUCGGGUUACCGAAUUCAGACAAACUCCGAAUGCCAAUUAAUUUAACUUGGGAGUCAGAACAUGGGUGAUAAGGUCCGUGUUCGAAAGGGAAACAGCCCAGACCACCAGCUAAGGUCCCAAAAUAUAUGUUAAGUGGAAAAGGAUGUGGCGUUGCCCAGACAACUAGGAUGUUGGCUUAGAAGCAGCCAUCAUUUAAAGAGUGCGUAAUAGCUCACUAGUCGAGUGACACUGCGCCGAAAAUGUACCGGGGCUAAACAUAUUACCGAAGCUGUGGAUUGUCCUUUGGACAAUGGUAGGAGAGCGUUCUAAGGGCGUUGAAGCAUGAUCGUAAGGACAUGUGGAGCGCUUAGAAGUGAGAAUGCCGGUGUGAGUAGCGAAAGAUGGGUGAGAAUCCCGUCCACCGAUUGACUAAGGUUUCCAGAGGAAGGCUCGUCCGCUCUGGGUUAGUCGGGUCCUAAGCUGAGGCCGACAGGCGUAGGCGAUGGAUAACAGGUUGAUAUUCCUGUACCACCUAUAAUCGUUUUAAUCGAUGGGGGGACGCAGUAGGAUAGGCGAAGCGUGCGAUUGGAUUGCACGUCUAAGCAGUAAGGCUGAGUAUUAGGCAAAUCCGGUACUCGUUAAGGCUGAGCUGUGAUGGGGAGAAGACAUUGAGUCUUCGAGUCGUUGAUUUCACACUGCCGAGAAAAGCCUCUAGAUAGAAAAUAGGUGCCCGUACCGCAAACCGACACAGGUAGUCAAGAUGAGAAUUCUAAGGUGAGCGAGCGAACUCUCGUUAAGGAACUCGGCAAAAUGACCCCGUAACUUCGGGAGAAGGGGUGCUCUUUAGGGUUAACGCCCAGAAGAGCCGCAGUGAAUAGGCCCAAGCGACUGUUUAUCAAAAACACAGGUCUCUGCUAAACCGUAAGGUGAUGUAUAGGGGCUGACGCCUGCCCGGUGCUGGAAGGUUAAGAGGAGUGGUUAGCUUCUGCGAAGCUACGAAUCGAAGCCCCAGUAAACGGCGGCCGUAACUAUAACGGUCCUAAGGUAGCGAAAUUCCUUGUCGGGUAAGUUCCGACCCGCACGAAAGGCGUAACGAUUUGGGCACUGUCUCAACGAGAGACUCGGUGAAAUCAUAGUACCUGUGAAGAUGCAGGUUACCCGCGACAGGACGGAAAGACCCCGUGGAGCUUUACUGUAGCCUGAUAUUGAAAUUCGGCACAGCUUGUACAGGAUAGGUAGGAGCCUUUGAAACGUGAGCGCUAGCUUACGUGGAGGCGCUGGUGGGAUACUACCCUAGCUGUGUUGGCUUUCUAACCCGCACCACUUAUCGUGGUGGGAGACAGUGUCAGGCGGGCAGUUUGACUGGGGCGGUCGCCUCCUAAAAGGUAACGGAGGCGCUCAAAGGUUCCCUCAGAAUGGUUGGAAAUCAUUCAUAGAGUGUAAAGGCAUAAGGGAGCUUGACUGCGAGACCUACAAGUCGAGCAGGGUCGAAAGACGGACUUAGUGAUCCGGUGGUUCCGCAUGGAAGGGCCAUCGCUCAACGGAUAAAAGCUACCCCGGGGAUAACAGGCUUAUCUCCCCCAAGAGUUCACAUCGACGGGGAGGUUUGGCACCUCGAUGUCGGCUCAUCGCAUCCUGGGGCUGUAGUCGGUCCCAAGGGUUGGGCUGUUCGCCCAUUAAAGCGGUACGCGAGCUGGGUUCAGAACGUCGUGAGACAGUUCGGUCCCUAUCCGUCGUGGGCGUAGGAAAUUUGAGAGGAGCUGUCCUUAGUACGAGAGGACCGGGAUGGACAUACCUCUGGUGUACCAGUUGUCGUGCCAACGGCAUAGCUGGGUAGCUAUGUGUGGACGGGAUAAGUGCUGAAAGCAUCUAAGCAUGAAGCCCCCCUCAAGAUGAGAUUUCCCAACUUCGGUUAUAAGAUCCCUCAAAGAUGAUGAGGUUAAUAGGUUCGAGGUGGAAGCAUGGUGACAUGUGGAGCUGACGAAUACUAAUCGAUCGAAGACUUAAUCAA